rnacentral:rRNA from 1 species
GGAAUAUUGCGCAAUGGUCGAAAGACUGACGCAGCGACGCCGCGUGUGGGAGGAAGCCUUUCGGGGUGUAAACCACUGUCAGGAGGGAAGAAACCCGCAUGAACGAAUACUUCAUGCGAUUGACGGUACCUCCAGAGGAAGCGCCGGCUAACUCCGUGCCAGCAGCCGCGGUAAGACGGAGGGAGCGAGCGUUGUUCGGAAUUACUGGGCGUAAAGCGCAGGCAGGCGGUCUGUUAAGUCUUUUGUGAAAAUCCGGGGCUCAACCCCGUGAAACGCAGAAGAUACUGGCAGACUAGAGACCGGUAGAGGCUAGCGGAAUUCCUGGUGUAGCGGUGGAAUGCGUAGAUAUCAGGAAGAACACCUGUGGCGAAGGCGGCUAGCUGGGCUGGAUCUGACGCUCAUCUGCGAAAGCGUGGGGAGCAAAC